GACGAACGCUGGCGGCGUGCUUAACACAUGCAAGUCGAACGGAAGGGCCCUGCUUUUGUGGGGUGCUCGAGUGGCGAACGGGUGAGUAACACGUGAGUAACCUGCCCUUGACUUUGGGAUAACUUCAGGAAACUGGGGCUAAUACCGGAUAGGAGCUCCUGCUGCAUGGUGGGGGUUGGAAAGUUUCGGCGGUGGGGGAUGGACUCGCGGCUUAUCAGCUUGUUGGUGGGGUAGUGGCUUACCAAGGCUUUGACGGGUAGCCGGCCUGAGAGGGUGACCGGCCACAUUGGGACUGAGAUACGGCCCAGACUCCUACGGGAGGCAGCAGUGGGGAAUAUUGCACAAUGGGCGGAAGCCUGAUGCAGCAACGCCGCGUGCGGGAUGACGGCCUUCGGGUUGUAAACCGCUUUCGCCUGUGACGAAGCGUGAGUGACGGUAAUGGGUAAAGAAGCACCGGCUAACUACGUG
rnacentral:rRNA from 1 species